rnacentral:tRNA from 1 species
GGAUCGGUAGCUUAGUUGGUAAAGCACUUGUCUAGCGAAUAAGGGUCAUGAGUUCAAAUCUCACCUGAGCUG